rnacentral:rRNA from 1 species
GGCGUGCCUAACACAUGCAAGUCGAACGAGAAAGCUCCUUCGGGAGUGAGUAGAGUGGCGCACGGGUGAGUAACACGUGGAUAAUCUGCCUGAUAAUCUGGGAUAACAUUUCGAAAGGGAUGCUAAUACCGGAUAAGCCCACAGUCUCUUCGGAGACAGCGGGAAAAGAUGGCCUCUUCUUGAAAGCUAUUGUUAUCAGAUGAGUCCGCGGUCCAUUAGCUAGUUGGUAGGGUAAUGGCCUACCAAGGCUACGAUGGAUAGCUGGUUUGAGAGAAUGAUCAGCCACACUGGAACUGAGACACGGUCCAGACUCCUACGGGAGGCAGCAGUGGGGAAUUUUGCGCAAUGGGGGAAACCCUGACGCAGCAACGCCGCGUGAGUGAUGAAGGUUUUCGGAUCGUAAAGCUCUGUCAAGAGGGAAGAAACCUCCAACGGCUAAUACCUGUUGGAAUUGACGGUACCUCUAGAGGAAGCACCGGCUAACUCCGUGCCAGCAGCCGCGGUAAUACGGAGGGUGCAAGCGUUGUUCGGAAUUAUUGGGCGUAAAGCGCGUGUAGGCGGUUAGUUAAGUCUGAUGUGAAAGCCCCGGGCUCAACCUGGGAAGUGCAUUGGAUACUGGCAAACUUGAGUACGGGAGAGGGAAGUGGAAUUUCGAGUGUAGGGGUGAAAUCCGUAGAUAUUCGAAGGAACACCAGUGGCGAAGGCGGCUUCCUGGACCGAUACUGACGCUGAGACGCGAAAGCGUGGGGAGCAAACAGGAUUAGAUACCCUGAUAGUCCACGCC